ensembl:rRNA 5S_rRNA 5S ribosomal RNA
AUCUGCAACCAUACCACCCUGAACACGCCCGAUCUCCUCUGAUCUCCCAAGCGAAGCAGGGUCGGGCCUGUUUAAUACUUGGAUGGGAGACCGCUUGGGAUUACCGCGUGCUGUCGUCU